AUUGAACGCUGGCGGCAUGCCUUACACAUGCAAGUCGAACGGCAGCACGGGAGCAAUCCUGGUGGCGAGCGGCGAACGGGUGAGUAAUAUAUCGGAACGUGCCCAGUAGUGGGGGAUAACUGCUCGAAAGAGUAGCUAAUACCGCAUACGACCUGAGGGUGAAAGGGGGGGAUCGCAAGACCUCACGCUAUUGGAGCGGCUGAUAUCAGAUUAGCUAGUUGGUGGGGUAAAGGCCUACCAAGGCAACGAUCUGUAGUUGGUCUGAGAGGACGACCAGCCACACUGGGACUGAGACACGGCCCAGACUCCUACGGGAGGCAGCAGUGGGGAAUUUUGGACAAUGGGCGCAAGCCUGAUCCAGCAAUGCCGCGUGCAGGAAGAAGGCCUUCGGGUUGUAAACUGCUUUUGUCAGGGAAGAAAUCCUCUAGGUUAAUACCCUUGGGGGGAUGACGGUACCUGAAGAAUAAGCACCGGCUAACUACGUGCCAGCCGCCGCGGUAAGAC
rnacentral:rRNA from 1 species